rnacentral:rRNA from 1 species
UACGUAGGCAGCAAGCGUUGUUCGGAGUUACUGGGCGUAAAGAGUUCGUAGGCGGUUUGUCGCGUCGUUCGUGAAAACUUGGGGCUUAACUCCAAGCGUGCGGGCGAUACGGGCAGACUUGAGUACUACAGGGGAGACUGGAAUUCCUGGUGUAGCGGUGAAAUGCGCAGAUAUCAGGAGGAACACCGGUGGCGAAGGCGGGUCUCUGGGUAGUAACUGACGCUGAGGAACGAAAGCGUGGGUAGCGAACAGG